rnacentral:rRNA from 1 species
UACGUAGGGAGCAAGCGUUGUCCGGAAUCAUUGGGCGUAAAGCGCGCGUAGGUGGCCUCAUAAGUCCGCUGUGAAAGUCAAAGGCUCAACCUUUGAAAGCCGGUGGAUACUGUGAGGCUAGAGUACGGAAGAGGCGAGUGGAAUUCCUGGUGUAGCGGUGGAAUGCGCAGAUAUCAGGAGGAACACCAUAGCGAAGGCAACUCGCUGGACGUUACUGACACUGAGCGCGAAAGCGUGGGAGCGAACAGG